rnacentral:rRNA from 1 species
UACGUAGGGUGCAAGCGUUGUCCGGAAUUAUUGGGCGUAAAGAGCUCGUAGGCGGUUUGUUGCGUCGGCUGUGAAAUCCCGAGGCUCAACCUCGGGUCUGCAGUCGAUACGAGCAAACUAGAGUGUUGCAGGGGAGACUGGAAUUCCUGGUGUAGCGGUGAAAUGCGUAGAUAUCGGGAGGAACACCUGUGGCGAAAGCGGCGCACUGGACCACAACUGACGCUGAGGUGCGAAAGCGUGGGGGAGCAAACAGG